CGGACGGGUGAGUAACGCGUGAGAACCUACCUUUUGGAGAGGGAUAACCAUKGGAAACGAUGGCUAAUACCUCGUAUUGCUGAGAAGUGAAAGAUGAAUAUCGCCAAAAGAUGGGCUUGCGGCUGAUUAGCUUGUUGGUGGGGUAAUGGCUUACCAAGGCGAUGAUCAGUAGCUGGUCUGAGAGGAUGAUCAGCCACACUGGGACUGAGACACGGCCCAGACUCCUACGGGAGGCAGCAGUGAGGAAUUUUCCGCAAUGGGCGACAGCCUGACGGAGCAAUGCCGCGUAAAGGAUGAAAGCCUAUGGGUUGUAAACUUCUUUUCUCAGAGAAGAAUUCUUGACGGUAUCUGAGGAAUAAGCAUCGGCUAACUCUGUGCCAGCAGCCGCGGUAAGACAGAGGAUGCAAGCGUUAUCCGGAAUGAUUGGGCGUAAAGCGUCUGUAGGUGGCUUAAAAAGUCUUCUGUUAAAGAUCAGGGCUUAACCCUGAGCCGGCAGGAGAAACUCUUAGGCUAGAGUUUGGUAGGGGCAGAGGGAAUUCCCGGUGGAGCGGUGAAAUGCGUAGAGAUCGGGAGGAACACCGAAGGCGAAAGCACUCUGCUGGGCCAAUGAAAAGUUUUUUCAAUAACUGACACUGAGAGACGAAAGCGAGGGGAGCAAAAGGGAUUAGAUACCCCUGUAGUC
rnacentral:rRNA from 1 species